GUGGGGAAUAUUGGACAAUGGGCGAAAGCCUGAUCCAGCCAUGCCGCGUGUGUGAAGAAGGUCUUCGGAUUGUAAAGCACUUUAAGUUGGGAGGAAGGGCAGUAAGUUAAUACCUUGCUGUUUUGACGUUACCGACAGAAUAAGCACCGGCCAACUUCGUGCCAGCAGCCGCGGUAAUACGAAGGGUGCAAGCGUUAAUCGGAAUUACUGGGCGUAAAGCGCGCGUAGGUGGUUUUGUAAGUUGGAGGUGAAAUCCCCGGGCUCAACCUGGGAACUGCCUCCAAAACUGCAUGACUAGAGUACGGUAGAGGGUAGUGGAAUUUCCUGUGUAGCGGUGAAAUGCGUAGAUAUAGGAAGGAACACCAGUGGCGAAGGCGACUACCUGGACUGAUACUGACACUGAGGUGCGAAAGCGUGGGGAGCAAACAGGAUUAGAUACCCGUGUAGUCC
rnacentral:rRNA from 1 species